UUAAUCAUCAAAAUUUCAAUGAAUUUUUAAAAAUAUGUAUCUCCACAAAGAUGGAGUGGGGAAAUUACCAUAACUGCUCAUAAGUUUUAUGAUUUGAACCAGAUGACAAAAGAUGUGUACACUAUUUGUACUAGGGAUUCAAAUAACUUCUAUCUUCAAAUACUAGUUCCAGUGAUAUAUCUGAGCUAGAGUUAAAUGCUGAGUUGAAAAACAGGAUCUUUUACAUAAUGUUAUGAGAAAUGGUAUAAAAAAAUCACAAACUAGAGAUUUGUUGGAGAAGAAAAUUUGGGUACUAGGACAGUCAGCCACUCACUAUAAGUACAUUUCUUUUAAAAAGCAAAUUAACUCAAAGUUUGGGCUCUUCCUCAAAAGGAUUAGAGCUAUGUCAUAAUUUCUAAAUAUCACCAAAAUAUACUGAAGAUAAAUGGGGAUGUAACUUAUGUGAUAUUAGAUAAAAGGAAACCACUAAUAGCCUUUUAACCUCUCAUUCCUCACAAGGGCAAAGAAGAAACUAGUAACAGAUAAUGAUUCACCUUAGUUUUUUCCAGAGAUUUUCCUAAAUCCUCUGCACCAAAAGAAGGCUGCACAAUGGGAACUCUUUCUGUUGUUUCUUUUAUCCAUGACUUCAAUGACUUAACAAGGACUUGGAAAGCAUCCAUCUGUUCUUGACAAGAAGACACAGCUUCUUUUCUAGAUAACAAAAAUUAUUGAAGAAUUUGAGCCACAGAAAGAAAAUACUCCAUAGGAAUAAUUACUAAUAAAUAAAUAAUUAUUCCUGUAUCAGGCUUACAAUUAAGAAAAAAAAAAAACUCUUCCCCAUACACAUUCUAACCAUUGAUAAAGGGAGGAAAGGACUCAUAGGUGUGAAGUGAAAUUAACUAAAUAACUACUUUAUUCCUUAGGCAUACUCCAUAGACAAAGACAAAAGCAGUUAAGAAAUCUGUAGUCCAUAUGGUAAUGGAACUCUAUACUGCUACGUAAACCCUAAGGCUAUAUAAACAGUUUUAACAUUAUUUAGAUUCAGCAAGCUUUGAUCUGUCCACUUUAUAUGGUGCUUAAUGCCAGCAGGCAUAGAACCAGCAGGGAAACAUUUACAAAUCACUGAUUUGAGAAAAACAUCCCGCCACCUAGUGGUUACUACACAGCACUACAGUCACUUUAGUGGAUGGAUAAACCAGAUACUCAGAAAGCUCCACAGUGAACUAGAUGGAUCUUGCUGUAAACUAAGCACCAUGGAGUGAGGGCACAUGCCCAGCACAUGAAUUAUGAGGACAGUUCCAUUUGUUAUGUGGAUGGCAUGUGGAUGGCAUGUGCACGUGUGGAAUACUGGCACAGAAGAGUUCACUGCAGCUGGACUAAUUACUGAGCCUUAUCACCUGGCAAGCCAUGGCUGGAUAUCUCCUUCAGAAGGCUGUGUAAAACUUCAAGAUCUUUCUUGUGUUCUAAGAAUUCAGAAGUUGAUUCCUACAAAGCAUUUAGAUAUUUAAUCAAUCUAAGAGGUUGUUAGAUCUUCAGAUGGCAUUCUAUCAAGAGAGACCUGCUGAUGCAAAACCAAAUUUUACCUCCUGCUUGGACUGAUACUUCUUCAAUUCAACUGUGCCAUCUCCAAUCACAAAGGCUUCUUGGUGACCAAUCAGGCGAUUUUCAGUUUGGCUAUGCAUCCUGUAGCCAUUGAUCAUGUUUCCUAGGAGCCUAACACACGCCAGAUCCCAUAUUACAAGUUUCACAUGGAAGAACUAAAACCAAAGAAUUCCCACUCCACAAAGAAAGGCAAACCUUCUGAUCAUCAAGAUCCUGUUCUAGCUGUAACUGAGUCUCUAAGCAUUCCACCCGGGCAGUUACUGAUUCCUGUACAUCAAGAAAACACUUCUGAGUUGUGUUUAGGAGCCUCAGUAGUUGUUUGCUUUGGUUGGGAGAUAGGUCUUGUGCACAUUCAGAAAUGAAGAACUGCACAUCAAGGGCGGUGGCCUCCAGCUGCACUUUGGUGUGUCCAAGGUCUUUUAGCACAUUCUGUGAACAAAAUAGUACAAGUUACAAAAUGGGAGCUUCAAUUCCAGGGCUAUCACCAGCAAGCAUCAACACUGGAUCUUAGAUCAUCAACACCCUAAGAGCUUCAAGCAGUAUCAUCCAACAGACAUCACAGGGCACUAAUAGCUCAUGAGCUGUGCUACUCAACCACUGCCAAGAAGUUGAGGAACAGAAGAUAGCCCUCUGCACAAAAGAAUUCAUGAAGGUGGACCCCCUGAUGGCCAGAACUGGACUUCCUUUGGUAUUUGUUCAACAACCCGAUGUUGCCAUUUUUCUUCUGACUGCUGUGGGUCUUGAUUCCACCUCAACAGAGGAGACCUGGCCAUUGGGUGAAGCUGCCCUGUGUUCCUAGAGGGCAGGUCUCCAGAGCGCGGACACUCAUUUACUGCCAUCUCAAACUCUGGUUUGAAGAUCGCCUCACUUCUCUCUUGUACUUUUACUACCUCUUGAAUAAUGAGAUCUGCUGAGCUCUGCAUUCUUCGGCGUUUCACAGGAGAUUUUUGCUGUGAAUCUACCAUGGCCCGGUAGGUCAUUGUUUGUAAUUCAUAGUCCUGUACAAGAGUUAUAAGAUUCAAUUAA